GUCCAAGGUAGCCUAGUGGAUAUGACAUCUGCCCGGUAAGCGGAACAUUGUAGGUUCGAUUCCCAUCCCUGGACA
rnacentral:tRNA from 1 species